GAUGAACGCUGGCGGCGUGCCUAAUACAUGCAAGUCGAGCGAACAGACGAGGAGCUUGCUCCUCUGACGUUAGCGGCGGACGGGUGAGUAACACGUGGAUAACCUACCUAUAAGACUGGGAUAACUUCGGGAAACCGGAGCUAAUACCGGAUAAUAUAUUGAACCGCAUGGUUCAAUAGCGAAAGACGGUUUUGCUGUCACUUAUAGAUGGAUCCGCGCCGCAUUAGCUAGUUGGUAAGGUAACGGCUUACCAAGGCAACGAUGCGUAGCCGACCUGAGAGGGUGAUCGGCCACACUGGAACUGAGACACGGUCCAGACUCCUACGGGAGGCAGCAGUAGGGAAUCUUCCGCAAAGGGCGAAAGCCUGACGGAGCAACGCCGCGUGAGUGAUGAAGGUCUUCGGAUCGUAAAACUCUGUUAUUAGGGAAGAACAAAUGUGUAAGUAACUAUGCACGUCUUGACGGUACCUAAUCAGAAAGCCACGGCUAACUACGCG
rnacentral:rRNA from 1 species